rnacentral:rRNA from 1 species
UACGGAGGGUGCAAGCGUUAUCCGGAUUCACUGGGUUUAAAGGGUGCGUAGGUGGGCAGUUAAGUCAGUGGUGAAAUCUCUGGGCUUAACCCGGAAACUGCCAUGGAUACUAUGUGUCUUGAAUGUUGUUGAGGUGAGCGGAAUAUGUCAUGUAGCGGUGAAAUGCUUAGAUAUGACAUAGAACACCAAUUGCGAAGGCAGCUCACUAAGCAAAUAUUGACGCUGAGGCACGAAAGCGUGGGGAUCAAACAGG